rnacentral:rRNA from 1 species
CACAGCCUGGGACUGCUCUGGAAACUGUGAAGCUGGAGUGCAGGAGAGGUAAGUGGAAUUCCUAGUGUAGCGGUGAAAUGCGUAGAUAUUAGGAGGAACACCAGUGGCGAAGGCGGCUUACUGGACUGUAACUGACGUUGAGGCUCGAAAGCGUGGGGAGCAAA